rnacentral:rRNA from 1 species
CUACGGGCGGCAGCAGUGAGGAAUCUUGCGCAUUGGGGGAAACCCUGACGCAGCAACGCCGCGUGAGUGAUGAAGGCCUUCGGGUCGUAAAGCUCUGUCAGAUGGGAAGAAAGUUUCGGCGGUGAAUAAUCGCCGGGAUUGACGGUACCGUCAGAGGAAGCACCGGCUAACUCCGUGCCAGCAGCCGCGGUAAUACGGAGGGUGCAAGCGUUGUUCGGAAUCAUUGGGCGUAAAGAGCGUGUAGGCGGUCGGGUAAGUCAGAUGUGAAAUCCCUUGGCUUAACCAAGGAAGUGCAUUUGAAACUGCCCGGCUUGAGUACGGGAGGGGGAAGUGGAAUUCCCGGUGUAGAGGUGAAAUUCGUAGAUAUCGGGAGGAACACCGGUGGCGAAGGCGGCUUCCUGGACCGAUACUGACGCUGAGACGCGAAAGCGUGGGGAGCAAACAGGAUUAGAUACCCGCGUAGUC